rnacentral:rRNA from 1 species
AUUGAACGCUGGCGGCAGGCUUAACACAUGCAAGUCGAACGAGUGGCGGACGGGUGAGUAAUGCUUGGGAAUCUAGCUUAUGGAGGGGGAUAACUACUGGAAACUGUAGCUAAUACCGCGUACCAUAGGAUGAGCCCAAGUGGGAUUAGGUAGUUGGUGAGGUAAAGGCUCACCAAGCCGACUAUCCAUAGCUGGUCUGCUAGGAUGACCAGUCACACUGGGAAGGAGACACGGCCCAGACUACUACGGGAGGCAGCAGUGGGGAAUAUUGCGCAAUGGGGGCAACCUGACGCAGCCAUGCCGCGUGAAUGAAGAAGGCCUUCGGGUUGUAAAGUUCUUUCGGUAGCGAGGCGUUAACGACAGAAGAAGCACCGGCUAACUCCGUGCCAGCAGCCGCGGUAAUAC